GAAAUGCCUCCAUGUGAUCCAGCUGUAAGGCAUUUUCUCAAUUAGUGAUCAAUGGGGACGGGUCCAAUGUGGGUGGGGCCACCCCUGGCUGGCGGUCCUG
rnacentral:miRNA from 1 species